rnacentral:rRNA from 1 species
UACGGGGGGGGUAAGCGUUGUUCGGAAUUACUGGGCGUAAAGGGCUCGUAGGCGGCCAACUAAGUCAGACGUGAAAUCCCUCAGCUUAACUGGGGAACUGCGUCUGAUACUGGAUGGCUUGGAUUCGGGAGAGGAAUGCGGAAUUCCAGGUGUAGCGGUGAAAUGCGUAGAUAUCAGGAGGAACACCGGUGGCGAAAGCGGCUUCCUGGCCCGACACUGACGCUCAUGUACGAAAGCGUGGGGAGCAAACAGG